rnacentral:rRNA from 1 species
AGCGAACGCUGGCGGUAGGCUUAACACAUGCAAGUCGAACGGCAGCACCGUAAGAGCUUGCUCUUAUCGGUGGCCAGUCGCGGACGGGCGAGGAAUACAACGUAAUCUACUUUUUCGUGGGGGAUAACGUAGGGAAACUUACGCUCAUACCGCAUACGCCCUUCGGUUGAAAGCAUGGGAUCUUCUGACCUUGCGCGAUUGAAUGAGCCGCUGUUGGAUUAGCUAGUUGGCGGGGUAAAGGCCCACCAAGGCGACGAUCCGUAGCUGGUCUGAGAGGAUGAUCAGCCACACUGGAACUGAGACACGGUCCAGACUCCUACGGGAGGCAGCAGUGGGGAAUAUUGGACAAUGGGCGCAAGCCUGAUCCAGCCAUACCGCGUGGGUGAAGAAGGCCUUCGGGUUGUAAAGCCCUUUUGUUGGGAAAGAAAAGCAGCAGGUUAAUACCCCGCUGUUCAGACGGUACCCAAAGAAUAAGCACCGGCUAACUUCGUG